AGCUCCAAUAGCGUAUAUUAAAGUUGUUGCAGUUAAAAAGCUCGUAGUUGGAUUUCUGCUGAGGACGACCGGUCCGCCCUCUGGGUGAGUAUCUGGCUUGGCCUUGGCAUCUUCUUGGAGAACGUAGCUGCACUUGACUGUGUGGUGCGGUAUCCAGGACUUUUACUUUGAGGAAAUUAGAGUGUUUCAAGCAGGCACACGCCUUGAAUACAUUAGCAUGGAAUAAUAAGAUAGGACUUUAGCCCUAUUUUGUUGGUUUCUAGAGCUAGAGUAAUGAUUAAUAGGGAUAAUUGGGGGCAUUCGUAUUAACGCGUCAGAGGUGGAAUUCUUGGAUUGCGU
rnacentral:rRNA from 1 species